CUGUCUGUGCCAGGGGGCAUAUGGUGCAUGCCGAGCCACAGAGAUGCUCAGGCUGUGCCCACAGGAUGACCGAGUGGGAGACAGCAGAACCAGUGGUGGCAGAGAGCCCGGGGAUCAAGCUCUUUGGGAAGUGGAGCUUCGAUGACGUGCAGAUCUAUGGCAUCUCCCUGCAGGAUUACACUGCAGUGAAGGAGCAGUAUGCCAAGUACCUGCCUCACGGCACAGAGCGACAUGCCACCAACGCUUCCGCGAAGCUCAGUGCCCCAUCGUGGAGUGCCUCACUUACUCCAUGAUGAUGCACGGCCGCAACAACCGCCAAGAAGCUCAUGAUUGUGAGCAUCGUCAAGCAUGCCUUCGAGAUCAUCCAGCUGCUCACAGGCCACAACCCUCUGCAGAUCCUGAUGAACGCCAUCAUCAACAGUGGCCCCCAGGAGGAUUCCACAUGCGUUGGGCAAGCGGGGACUGUGAGAUGACAGGCUGUGGACGUGUCCCCAUUGUACAGCGUGAAUCAGGCCAUCUGGCCGCUGUGCACAGGCGCUUCUGAGGCUGCCUUCCGGGAACAUCAAGAACAUUGCGGAGUGCCUGGCAGAUGAGCUCAUCAUUGCUGCCAAGGGCUCCUCUUAUUUUCCCGGUUGCUGCCCAAUAAACCUGCCUUUUGGGGUGGCCCCACAAAAAAAUAAAAAAUAA